GUAAACACAGUAAAUUAUUUAUUAGAAUAUAACAUACCAAUAUUUAAUAAUGUAUCAAUUUUGACAUAAAAGAUGACAGACAUCAGUGUGGCAUUGCAUGCUUCUGAUCCCAGCAUUUCAGGAGGCUGAGGCAGGAGGAACCAAAGUUCAAGUACAGUCUCUGCAACUUAUCAAGACCCUGUUUCCAAAAAAAAAAAAAGAACUUCUAGUUUAAUUCCCAUUAUAAAAAAUAACAAUAACAAAAUGAAGGACACCUCAUGUAAUUCAUUAAUUUACCCAGAACACUGUACUGUGGAUGCAUAAAUGGAAAUUGAAUAUAAUGUUAAACACAGUGGGUAGGUAGAAAGAAUUGAGGGCUUUCUUUUUUCCAUUCAGGAGAAUUAAAUUGUUUGUUGAUUACACAUGAAAAUGGAUGAUGGACAAGCUUCAUUCCCAUCUGUUAAGUGUACAGUAUCAUUAUUCAAUUUAGAUAUUGCAUAGGAUGUGUCAACAAUCAUUUUUAUAACCAAAUAAUUCCAUGACUGUGCUUGUGUGACCCUUUCAAUGGUGAACUUCAAAAGGUCACAACUACACCAAGCUGUGUGAACCUGGUAUUAUCCCAAAUGACUUCUAACUUCACACUUUUGUGGAAGUUUUACCAAGAUGGCUUCAGAGUAGACUAACUUUACAUAGCACAUAUAAAAAAAGACAUAUUUAUUCAGUGUCAUAAUCAGACUAUUACAUUUAGCAAUUAACAUCAUGGGUGCAAAAAAAAAAGAGAAAAGAAGUCUACAUUAAAACCCUUUGUGCUUUACACUUUCCACAGAACAGAAACUAAAAUAAUCUGUUAUACCAAUAGUCACAAAUACAGUACUUGAAAUGUUUUUUUUCCCAUAUACAUGAGUAUUGUCUAAACCAUGUCUUCUUUGUAGCAGCGAGGCCCUGCCCCAGUGUGCUUGGCUGAGUUCACAAAUCUGUUGUAACCUGUAGCUUCCCUGUCACUUCCUCUCCUGCUAAGCUUUGUUUCCUGGCAACAUUAAAACCUUCUUCCAUUGUCAUAGCUACUGCUGCUGCUGGAACUACCAGAGCCUCUUGGUUUGGUGGUUUGGCAGAGUAUUGUCCUCCACCACCAUCAGGUCCGGAGUUUCUCUGCCUCCAAAGUUUCCACCCUUCAUGGGUUCAAAAUUUGAUGACUGAUUGUUGUCAUUGCCAGAAUCAUUGUAGCCUUUACCACUUCCAAAAUUGCUUCUGUCACUACCAAAUCUACUGUAGCCAACCCCACUGCCACCAUAUCCAACACCACCAUGGCUGCCACCAAAAUUGUCAUUUACACCAAAACCACCUCCAUAAUCACCACCAAACUUUCUACAACCAUGUCAACUUUUUUGGCCAGCUCUUACGUUGACAGGGCUUUCCUCACUUCACAGUUGUGGCCUUCACAGUAUGGCAUUUCUGAACGACAAUCUUAUUCACAGAGUCGUGAUCAUCAAAAGUUGAAAAAGC
rnacentral:lncRNA from 1 species